UCUACGGGAGGCAGCAGUAGGGAAUAUUGCUCAAUGGGGGAAACCCUGACGCAGCAACGCCGCGUGGAGGAUGAAGGUUUUCGGAUUGUAAACUCCUUUUGUUAGAGAAGAUAAUGACGGUAUGUAACUAAUAAGAACCUGCUAACUCCGUGCCAGAAGCAGCGGUAAUACGGAGGGUGCAAGCGUUACACGGAAUCACUGGGCGUAAAGCGCGCGUAGGCGGGAUAGCAAGUCAGAUGUGAAAGCCUAUGGCUGAACCAUAGAACUGCAUUGGAAACUGUUAUUCUAGAGUAUGGGAGAGGUAGGUGGAAUUCUUGGUGUAGGGGUAAAAUCCGUAGAGAGCAAGAGGAAUACUCAUUGCGAAGGCGACCUGCUAGAACAUAACUGACGCUGAUGCGCGAAAGCGUGGGGAGCAAACAGGAUUAGAUACCCUAGUAGUC
rnacentral:rRNA from 1 species